UACGGGGGGGGCAAGCGUUGUUCGGAAUUACUGGGCGUAAAGGGCGCGUAGGCGGCCUUCUAAGUCAGACGUGAAAUCCCCCGGCUUAACCUGGGAACUGCGUCUGAUACUGGGAGGCUUGAGUAUGGGAGAGGGAUGUAGAAUUCCAGGUGUAGCGGUGAAAUGCGUAGAGAUCUGGAAGAACACCAAAGGCGAAGGCAGCGUCCUGGGAAGCAUCUGACGCUCAGGUGCGAAAAGCUAGGGGAGCGAACGGG
rnacentral:rRNA from 1 species